AUUGAACGCUAGCGGGAUGCCUUACACAUGCAAGUCGAACGGAGUGGCGAACGGGUGAGUAAUGUAUCGGAACGUGCCCAGUAGCGGGGGAUAACUACGCGAAAGCGUAGCUAAUACCGCAUACUAUUGGAGCGGCCUAUAGCGGAUUAGCUAGUUGGUGGGGUAAAGGCUAACCAAGGCGACGAUCCGUAGCUGGUCUGAGAGGACGACCAGCCACACUGGAACUGAGACACGGACCAGACUCCUACGGGAGGCAGCAGUGGGGAAUGUUGGACAAUGGGGGAAACCCUGAUCCAGCCAGGCCGCGUGUGGGAAGAAGGCCUUCGGGUUGUAAAGCACUUUUGGUAGGAAAGCGUUACCUGCAGAAUAAGCACCGGCUAACUACGUGCCAGCAGCCGCGGUAAUAC
rnacentral:rRNA from 1 species